CACCCGGCGGCGGACACCUGAGUGGGCUCCCUCUGCCCCCGCGAAGCCUGCACGGCCGCCGGUGAAUCAAAAAGGGUCCCAGGAAACCUGUGAAUGUUGAAGAAAAUUCGUCUGUGAAUUUUUGGUAUUCAAGGAGGAGUCAGUAUUUAUAUUCAUCUUUUAAACUGGGAAGAUUUAUAUUUUAUUUUAAAACUUCUUGAUAUUUACAAUGAAUGGACACAGUGAUGAAGAAAGUGUUAGAAACAGUAGUGGAGAAUCAAGGAAGUGACAGAGACUUGUGUCUUGGACACGAAGUAAAACUGCUUUAUUACUGAAGCAAGAUUUCUUUUUCCACCUGACAACAUCCUAGCCAAUGAGAAACAUCACAGCUCAACCAACGAAACACGUCGCAGCUCAACCAUCGAGAAACGCUGCAGCUCAGCCACCGAGAAACACCGCAGCUCAGCCACCGAGAAACGCCGCAGCUCAGCCAUCGAGAAACGCUGCAGCUCAGCCAACCAGAAACGUGGCA